rnacentral:rRNA from 1 species
GACGAACGCUGGCGGCGUGCUUAACACAUGCCAGUCGAACGGAAAGGCCCUGCUUUUGUGGGGUGCUCGAGUGGCGAACGGGUGAGUAACACGUGAGUAACCUGCCCUUGACUUUGGGAUAACUUCAGGAAACUGGGGCUAAUACCGGAUAGGAGCUCCUGCUGCAUGGUGGGGGUUGGAAAGUUUCGGCGGUUGGGGAUGGACUCGCGGCUUAUCAGCUUGUUGGUGGGGUAGUGGCUUACCAAGGCUUUGACGGGUAGCCGGCCUGAGAGGGUGACCGGCCACAUUGGGACUGCGAGACGGCCCAGACUCCUACGGGAGGCAGCAGUGGGGAAUAUUGCACAAUGGGCGGAAGCCUGAUGCAGCAACGCCGCGUGCGGGAUGACGGCCUUCGGGUUGUAAACCGCUUUCGCCUGUGACGAAGCGUGAGUGACGGUAAUGGGUAAAGAAGCACCGGCUAACUACGUG